rnacentral:rRNA from 1 species
GAUGAACGCUGGCGGCGCGCCUAAUACAUGCAAGUCGAGCGAACAGACGAGGAGCUUGCUCCUCUGACGUUAGCGGCGGACGGGUGAGUAACACGUGGAUAACCUACCUAUAAGACUGGGAUAACUUCGGGAAACCGGAGCUAAUACCGGAUAAUAUAUUGAACCGCAUGGUUCAAUAGUGAAAGACGGUUUUGCUGUCACUUAUAGAUGGAUCCGCGCCGCAUUAGCUAGUUGGUAAGGUAACGGCUUACCAAGGCAACGAUGCGUAGCCGACCUGAGAGGGUGAUCGGCCACACUGGAACUGAGACACGGUCCAGACUCCUACGGGAGGCAGCAGUAGGGAAUCUUCCGCAAUGGGCGAAAGCCUGACGGAGCAACGCCGCGUGAGUGAUGAAGGUCUUCGGAUCGUAAAACUCUGUUAUUAGGGAAGAACAAAUGUGUAAGUAACUAUGCACGUCUUGACGGUACCUAACCAGAAAGCCACGGCUAACUACGUG